rnacentral:rRNA from 1 species
UACGUAGGUGGCAAGCGUUGUCCGGAAUUAUUGGGCGUAAAGCGCGCGCAGGCGGUCCUUUAAGUCUGAUGUGAAAGCCCACGGCUCAACCGUGGAGGGUCAUUGGAAACUGGGGAACUUGAGUACUGAAGAGGAAAGCGGAAUUCCACGUGUAGCGGUGAAAUGCGUAGAGAUGUGGAGGAACACCAGUGGCGAAGGCGGCUUUCUGGUCAGUAACUGACGCUGAGGCGCGAAAGCGUGGGGAGCAAACAGG